AGGACGAACGCUGGCGGCGUGCCUAACACAUGCAAGUCGAACGGAACUGUUAUGAUUGAUCUUCGGAUGAAAGAUUUCAGUUAGUGGCGGACGGGUGAGUAACGCGUGAGUAACCUGCCUCUGAGAGGGGAAUAACGUUCUGAAAAGAACGCUAAUACCGCAUAACACAUAAUUACCGCAUGGUAAAUAUGUCAAAAGAUUUUUAUCGCUCAGAGAUGGACUCGCGUCCGAUUAGUUAGUUGGUGAGGUAACGGCUCACCAAGACCGCGAUCGGUAGCCGGACUGAGAGGUUGAACGGCCACAUUGGGACUGAGACACGGCCCAGACUCCUACGGGAGGCAGCAGUGGGGGAUAUUGCGCAAUGGGGGCAACCCUGAACCGCAGCAACGCCGCGUGAAGGAUGAAGGUUUUCGGAUUGUAAACUUCUUUUAUCAGGGACGAAAAUUGACGGUACCUGAUGAAUAAGCUCCGGCUAACUACGUGCCAGCAGCGGC
rnacentral:rRNA from 1 species